rnacentral:rRNA from 1 species
AACGAAUCUUCUUCGGAAGAUGAGUGGCGAACGGGUGAGUAAUACAUAGGUAACCUGCCCCUGUGCGGGGGAUAACAGGAGGAAACUCCUGCUAAUACCGCAUAGCCAUGAGCACCGCAUGGAGUUCAUGCCAAAUAUCCUUUCGGGGAUAGCGCAGGGAUGGACCUAUGGCGCAUUAGCUGGUUGGCGGGGCAACGGCCCACCAAGGCAACGAUGCGUAGCCGGCCUGAGAGGGCGGACGGCCACAUUGGGACUGAGACACGGCCCAGACUCCUACGGGAGGCAGCAGUAGGGAAUUUUCGGCAAUGGGUGGAAACCCUGACCGAGCAACGCCGCGUGAGCGAAGAAGGCCUUCGGGUCGUAAAGCUCUGUUGUAAAGGAAGAACGGCGCAUACAGGAAAUGGUAUGCGAGUGACGGUACUUUACCAGAAAGCCACGGCUAACUACGUGCCAGCAGCCGCGGUAAUACGUAGGUGGCGAGCGUUAUCCGGAAUCAUUGGGCGUAAAGAGGGAGCAGGCGGCCGCAAGGGUCUGUGGUGAAAGACCGAAGCUAAACUUCGGUAAGCCAUGGAAACCGGGCGGCUAGAGUGCGGAAGAGGAUCGUGGAAUUCCAUAUGUAGCGGUGAAAUGCGUAGAUAUAUGGAGGAACACCAGUGGCGAAGGCGACGGUCUGGGCCGCAACUGACGCUCAUUCCCGAAAGCGUGGGGAGCAAAUAGGAUUAG